rnacentral:rRNA from 1 species
GCACAAGCGGUGGAUGAUGUGGUUAAUUCGAUGCAACGCGAAAACCUUACCCACCUUUGACAUGUACGGAAUCCUUUAGAGAUAGAGGAGUGCUCGAAAGAGAGCCGUAACACAGGUGCUGCAUGGCUGUCGUCAGCUCGUGUCGUGAGAUGUUGGGUUAAGUCCCGCAACGAGCGCAACCCUUGUCAUUAGUUGCUACAUUCAGUUGGGCACUCUAAUGAGACUGCCGGUGACAAACCGGAGGAAGGUGGGGAUGACGUCAAGUCCUCAUGGCCCUUAUAGGUGGGGCUACACACGUCAUACAAUGGAUGGUACAAGGGGUCGCCAACCCGCGAGGGGGAGCCAAUCCCAUAAAGCCAUUCGUAGUCCGGAUCGCAGCCUGCAACUCGACUGCGUGAAGUCGGAAUCGCUAGUAAUCGUGGAUCAGAAUGUCACGGUGAAUACGUUCCCGGGCCUU